UAUAAUGCAUAUAAGGUCGUAUAAUAACGCUUUUACUAGUCAACAUUUUCUGAUAUAAACAGCCUGUAGCAGGUUUGUGAUGCGAUGUAUGAUUUGAAUUCAAACAGUCGUGAUGCAGUUUGAAGAUUUAACCAUGUCCUUAAAAGUAAAGGUUUAGUUAGUUAACUCUCUGGUUAAUGAUUCAUCGCUGAGGUAAUCUCCACAAAUUAGCCGUUUUAACGAAACAUAUUUCACAUGCGAGGUUUAUAAUGACAUUUUCUUAAUUUUAUUUUAUUGUACGGGGUGUCUGAUUUAAUUUGACUACUCUUACUAAAAUAUAUAGGUCUUUUUUUUUUAAUUAACGUUACUCAAUUCUUGUAAAGAUUUCAUCAGCGCGCGUUAAUCUCCAGUCGCGCGUGCGCAGUGAGGGGAGUGCGACAAUAACGGUCGAUUUCUGAGGCGAGUAUUAAACCGUCAAUAUGACAACGACUUCUGUUGUUUAAACUUAUCCAUAACAUGACUACUAAUACUGAGAUUAAGACAAAAAGACUAAAUUAGCGUGUUAAGAAUUGACAUGACUCGAAGUUGUUAUAUGGUCUGAAUUAAGAAAACAAAACAUAACAACUGAGUUUCAUGUUUCACAUCUAUCGCACUCGCUUUAGUUAUUAACUCUUCAAGUGAAAACUAAACCUAAAGGUUUCCAAAUUAAUCUUUCUGCUGGUGUUUAUCGAGGUGAAUGGCGGCUCCAGUAGAUCCUCAGACGCCUGCAGCAUCAGGGCAGAAGAAGGGUCACGUGAGGUUUGUGGAAGUUUCUCCUCUCCGUGAAGAUCAGAAGGGGGCGGCGGAGGAGGGCGGUCAUCUGUCCGUCUGGUCGGCCGGUCUGUUCAUCAGUAAGUGGAGGUCAGCGCAGCGCAGAGGAGUCCGAGCCCGGCUCUACACGGACGACCCCGAGUACAGACGUGUGCUGAGAGAGCAGGAGCUCCAGCUGAGAUCCACCGUGCCGCUGCCGCUGGGCUCCGCCAUGGAAAAGGAGACGCUGCGCAUUCUGCUGGACGUGGAGAAAUCUUACAGACGUAACCUGGGUCCACAGCACGCUCUCACCGCAGACGCUCAGACACGAAUCCAGACGCUCAGAGACAGAAUAUCUGCUAGAAGUGUGAGCGAGGAGCAGCAGACGAGCGUCCUGAACCCCUGGAGCCGCUGGAAGAGCUCCGCGAGACACACAGAGACACAGAACAGCCCUCAAACAGUCACCUACAGACCACCUCAGACCCCAGAGGAAGCAGAUAACACCAGCGUUUGAUGACACAUUAAAACCUGAAGAGUUACUUCAAGUCAGUGUGUUUUACAGAGCCUUUCCAGUCACACACACAAAUACAGGCAUAAGAGACGGAAGCUCGUUUCUGCCACACAGUGAGAGAUAUGAAAAGCUAACAGUGACUUGUUCCUAAAAUUUCAGGAAAAGUAACUGCGAUCUCUUUUUUUCUUAGAUUUCUGAAUUUACAUCUCACAAUUAUUUUUAGUUUCCACCACAGAAAAAAAUUAUAUAAUAAUACAUUUUUUUAAAUGUAAUUGCAACUAUCACAGAAUUUUUUCCUCCCAAUUGCACGUUUACAUCUCACAAACCAAACUUUUUUCUCUGAAUUAUGUUUACAUUCGCAAUUUCGUUUGAGAAACGUCAGAAUUGUAUAGUUAUAAACUCAUAAUUACAAGUUUGUAUCUCGCAGUUUUUACUUUUUUCUCCUAUUUCUUUAUUUCACAAUAUUUUGUCUUGUUUUGUUUCCAACAUGGAAUAAAAAAUUAAAAAUGUAAAUAAAAAAUCUCAAAAUUAACAUCUCACAAUUUUGAAUGCGUGUUUGUAUCUUGCAACUCUGAGGAAAAAAUCUGAAUUGUGGGACAAAAAGUUGAAAUUUAAAAAAAAAAGAUUAUCCCAUGGCUUAAACACACUUCCAUAAUAAAGCACUGAGAGUAAAGAACCGUAUGGAUAUAAAACUGUCCAGAAUGAUUUAUUAUCAAAAGUCCAAAAAUGACCCGUCUGGAGUGUGUCAGAAGACUGAAGCAGCACAUCGUGUGAUAAAACUCAACGGUGGCACUGACGUUUGCAUUUUUACGCAGUGAAAGCGUAAAUUGUGCAGAUGUGAUUCAGAUGAAUGGUUAGCAUGUUUUUUGCGUGACGCGUUAAAGAGCUGUACAACACUGUGAACAAAGGUUUAAUUUCACAUUUACAUCAUUGCUAAUCUAUAAAAUACAAAGGGUUCCGCUCAAAAGGUUUUAAACAUCAGUCUUUUUAAAAGUUCGUAAAAAAAAAUCCCCAAAAUUUACAAAAGAAGCGAGUAUCAAAAGUGUUGCUCUCCUCCAACGGUAUGAAAUAAAAGGCCCUGCUGGUGGAGAAGGCAUCGUGAACACGAGUGAAAGGCUUGAAUCAGGAGUCGGUUCCUUCUCGUGGUUCGUCCAGUGAUUCGUUCCUUCAUUUAUCGCUCGUACAGCAGCAGCAGCAGCUCAGUCCAGCAGUAGUUCAGCUUCAUGGAGGAAGUUCCCUGAUACUUCUUUACCCAUUUACAAAAUGUGGUUUCGAUGCGACGAGAGGACGAAAGAAAUUAAAAAGUGCUUCACUUCAAGUAUGUAAACAAAAAUGUAAAAAAUGACAGAUUCUCGUCAGCGUUUGGCACAUCAGAUCAACUGUAGGAAAAAUGACAGAAACAGGACGAUUGUUCUUCUUGUCACUCAUCAGCAUCUGCAAAGAAAAACACAUCUGUCGAUAUCUGAUUCGUGGACACUUGAAAAUUUUCAGCGCAAAAUGUUAUUUUGUACAAUUUUACGUUAUAUUAUUAUCCAGCUCUAUAUAUAAACUUGGAUAUACAGCAAAAUGUCAAGUAUAACAUCGCACAGCUCUGUUUAUUAAAUUGGAUAUAUGGUAUAUACUGAAAAACAACUAUUAUCUCAGUUCUUUCAUAUAAAGUUGUAUAUGUAGUAUCGUUGACUAUAUAAAGCAAAAUGUAAACAAUUUUAUUGCACAUCACUAUAUAUGAAGUUGGAUAUAUAGUUGCAUAUAAAGGAAAAUGUAAACUUUUAUCACACAGCACUAUGUAUAAAGUUAGACAUAUAGUAUAGUUCGAUAUAUAGCUAAAUGUAAAGUAUUAUCGCACAGUUCCAUGAAGUUGGAUAUAUAGUAGAGUUGGAUAUACAGCAAAAUGUAAAGAUUAUCGCACAGUUCUAUAAAGUUGGAUAUACAGUAGAGUUGGAUAUACAGCAAAAUGUAAAGUAUUAUCGCACAGUUCUAUAAAGUUGGAUAUACAGUAGAGUUGGAUAUAUAGCAAAAUGUAAAGAUUAUCGUACAGUUCUAUGAAAUUGUAUAUACACUGGCGUU
ensembl:lncRNA